GCCAGCAGUCGGUUAAUGUUGUUUACGAGAAAAAAGGACUGCAGCUCGUAUUGGAUGAGGGGGAUGUAGAAUUGCUGCUUGAUACUUUAUCUCUUAUGAAAGCGGAGAGACCUAAUUCUUACUAUGCUAUAGACUUUGACAAAGAAAAACGUAUGAGAAAUGUAUUCUGGAUUGAUGCAAAAGGUAGAAAUGAUUAUGUCCAUUUUUGUGAUGUAAUUUAUUUGGACACCUACUACAUCAGAAACAAAUAUAAAGUCCCAUUUUACCCAUCGUAGGGGUCAAUCCUCAUUUCCAAUUUUUGUUAGUUGGAUGCCUUGGUUGGGGAUGAAUCAUCGUCUACAUUUUCUUGGUUAAUGCGCACUUGGCUUAGAGCUGUCGGUGGCCAGAGUCCUAAAGUAGUUAUUACUGAUGAUGAAAUUUCCUUGAAAGAAGCAGUAGGGGAGGUUUUCCUGACGCACGACAUUGUUUUUGUUUGUGGCAUGUAAUGGGAAAAGUUUCUCAAAACCUUGGUAAUAAGAUAAGUAAUACUGAAGAUUUUGUAAAGAAGUUGAAGAAAUGCAUGUGGUUGCCGCUUAAAGAAGAAGAACUUGAAAAACGAUGGUGGAAAAUGGUGGAUUCAUUCAAACUGAGGGAUGAUGACUUGAUUCGAUCAUUGUUUGAAAAUCGAACAAAAUGGGUUCCAGUGUACAUAAGGAAUACUUUCUUGGCCGGACUCUCUACAGUUGAGCGGUCUGAAAGUGUGUCAUUCUUCUUCAAUAGUUAUAUUUCGUCUGAGAGUACGUCAAAGGGUUCAUUGAUCAAUACAAACUAUUCAUGCAUGGGAUGUAUGAGGAGGAAGCAAAAGCUGAUAUUGAAACACAUCACAGAAAGCCUAUAGUAAAAACUCUCUCCCCUUAUGAGAAACAAAUGUCUACUGUCUAUACAAACUCGGUAUUCAUGAAAUUUCAAGCUGAGGUUGUUGGCAUUGCUGCUUGCACUAUUCUGAAUGAAGUUGAAGAGGGAACAGAAAAGUUGUUUAAAGUCAAUGACCGUGAUAAAAACCAGAGUUUUAUGGUAUCAUGGGGUGGAAGAGAAUCUUGCAUCGUCUGUUCAUGCCAUUUCUCUGAGUAUACAGGUAUUCUUUGUAGACAUGCAAUUACGGUUCUAAAAGUAUCUGGUGUCCCCAGUAUCCCACCGGUGUAUAUAUUAGAGCAGUGGACACGGGAUGCAAAAAUUAAAGGGAGAGCGUGCCGGAUUCCAAGCAACCCUCUAUAUAGGACCCAACGUCUCAAUGAUCUUUGCAUAUUUGCUGCCAAAUUGGGGGAAGUUGGAUCUUUAUCCCAGGAAACCUAUGAAUCAGCUGUAAACGCACUCAAAGCUACAAGAAUGAUUGUGUCAAUGCAAAUAACUCUGUGAAGACUGCUUCGGUCUCUAAAUUUCAUUUUCUCAAUGCAAUCAUAAUGUUGAUGAAGAGAUUCAAGGUGGCAGCAUGGCAAAGUCCUCAAAGAGAAAGAAAGUACAGAAGAAGCGCAAGCUUCAAUCUAAUGUUGAAGUACUAUCUACCGGUAUCCAAGAUAGCAGCCUGCAGAUGGAUCAAUCAAACUCAAAACUACCAACUCAUGAAGAUGCUUUCUUCCUCAGAGGCACGUACAAGGAAUGAAUCCAGGCCCCAGAAUGGAAACUAUUGACGGAUACUAUGUUCCUCAUCAGAGCGUUCAUGGAUUGGGUCUGUUGAGUUCUUUUUCUAUGUUACAAGAUAGCUAUUAGAGAAAUCAUCAAGCCUCACAAAACGUUCUGGGAAACUUGAAUUAUAUAUUAGCCCAUGGCGGUCAUUACUCUGCUCAAAGUAUUCAAGGACUGUUGCAGGGACAACUUAGCUUCAGAGCGCCACUGCUGCAUACUUCUUUUGACAUUCAGGGAAAUUCAUCUGAUAUCAUUUCAAACCCAAGAACUCCAAGUAUCAACAAUGGUGGAUUUCAAAUGUUGUCAUCAACUUAUCUCUAACAUCUAACUUCAUAUUGUUAGAUCUGAAGGAAAUAAUUUAAGCACGUGCGUUUUGUAAUAUGAAAGUGUCACCAUAUUGAGAACUCAUUUUGUUGCUUUUGCUGGGUCACGAACUCCAUUUGGAUACAAGAGAACACUUUGAAAUUCAAUUGUUUUUUGUUGAUUGAAGUGAUAAUGUGGGUGAUAAAAUAUAUGGUAUGUGCUGUGAUUUUUGGUGGUGGAAGAAUGAAUUUGGUGGUAGGUAAUGAAUUUGGUGGUGGUGGGUGAUGAAAUCAAUUGUAGUUGCUAUGAUAUAUGAUGGUGGAAA